UAUUUUUAAAAGCAAGCAAAGCAUGUGAGCGCAGAGAGGACGUGACAUUUAAAUAAAUAUGCAUAUCGUAACAUGUUAGUGGUAAUUGUUUAAAAUUACAUCAAUAGAAGCCACAGCGUAUGAGGUUUUUAAGAGAAAAAAAGAAGUCUGGUGAACGGUGAAUAACGUGUAUAAAAUACACCGACGUAAAAAUUUAUGAAAAGACACCUCACUCACCCCAUGAACUCGUGGUCUGAGUUGUCAUCCACCUCCUCUGCUUCUUCUUCUUCUGCAAACAAAGGGACAAAAAUUAGAGCCUUGCAGUUCUGUUAAAGCCAAGUACGUAUAAUUUUCAUGAAUUUUUUUCAUCUGAUGAGAGUUUUUUGCCACAUUAACAGAGGAACUGCUAAGUAUUGAAAAAAUGUAAUAAUGAUAACCAUCAAAAAGUCACAGGGUACAUACCAGCAAACUGAUCUUUCUUGCGUCUCGUAUAGGCUCGUUUACUGGUUACUGGAACUUGGUCGGUUUCUCCAUGCAACAAACUGUUUCUGUACAACAACAAUGGUUGCCAAUCUUCACCUCGUGACGAUGGCAUGCCAGCCUGCAAUCGCUUGUCGAGGAAGUUUAAU